GUGAAAUAUAUGAGUUGAAGAACAAUGGUUUUGCUCAGUUGUACUUCUAUUAGUUCAUGAUCUCAUAUUAAUAUGUUUUUGCUAUUUUUGUUUUCUUUCUUCUGAAGGCUGUAAAGCUACUGCUAAGGUUGGAUGCUGAGGACGCUGCUUGAAAGUCGAAGUUUUGGAAGUUCAGGUCAGGUAGAAGGUAUUGUUGCUCUCACAGCUUGUCGAAGUGGGCUGCAUCCUGGUACUCGGUAUUUGGCUAGGGGCAUUAAUUCCUGUUUUAGCACAGGUGGUGGCAGCCGAUGCAAAUCUUGUCUUAACCACUAGGGGCAUUGAGAAGACUACAAGGGCUUUAGUAUCUGAGCUUAAGGCUAUUUCAAAAGAGUUGAAGACAGUGAACUUGCUGAUGUUGCUGCUGUUAGUGCUGGGAACAACAAUGAAAUAGGAAAUAUGAUAGCUGAGUCCAUGAGUAAAUUUGGUCGAAAGGGUGUAAUUACCUUUGAGGCGGGAAACCGAAAUAAGGUAUCAAAUCUCCAUCGUAGCAACGAUGAACCUGGUUAGAGUAGAAUGCUUAUUUUCACUAUUGAUUAAAUAUUGAAAAAUCCUUAAGAUCCUGGUGAUAUAUAAGAUUUGCAUUUUACAGUUCAGUGUAACAAAAUUUGAACAUCAUUUUUCAGUGAAACAAAGAAAGUUGUAUUUACUAUUUGCUUUUUUUUACUGGUAGAAAAUUUUUUAACUGAAUUUUAUUUAAA